rnacentral:lncRNA from 1 species
GUGUCUUCUAAAUAGGAACAUUCUGGCCCUUUGCACUUUGUGCUCCUCCUUCCCCCUGAACCAGCACAAAUAUCAUAAUCUGUACUGCUCAGAGAAUUGAUCAAUUUCCAAGACAAUAUUUCAUAUCAAAAGGAUAGCUACAAAAUGUGUUAUUUACUAUCUCUACUUUUAACAUACUUUGUGCACUUCUAAACAUCUAGAAAGACCAGUUGUUUCAAAUAAGGACUUAAGUUUGUCCGCUGUAUACACAGUAGUGUUGAAUAAUCUACACACGUAACAAUAGUUAUAUCUGAAAGUGUCUUCUAAAUAGGAACAUUCUGGUAUAGAAUGCUUCAUUCCUUCCAACUCCUCUCCACCACCAACCUGGUGGAUAUAGGCACGUGUCACUUAGAGCUGAUGUUAUCAUUUCACUUCCGAAAGUCCUUUUCAGAAGACAGCCUUUCUAUGAAUUUUAACGAAGUGUACAAAAUGUGUUAGUUUACUAACCCUACUUCUGUCAUACAUUGGCAACCUCUUUAAUAUCUAGAGACUAGAUAUUAUAAAAUCGGACUCAUUUGUCCAGUAUAUACACAAUAUAUAGAGUGUAGCAAAGUUAAAUGAAAUGCACGUAACAUAUAGGCAAUGGAUUAAGCGGAAAUUUUCUAAUAAACAAUGGCAAAACACCUUUUGCAACUUCUUCCCUCCCACCUCCCAGGUGGUUCAACAAUUCCACUUCCAAACAGCAUUUCCCAUCAGUUUUUAAAAGCUAUUUACAAAAAGUGUUAUUCUACUACUUUUAAAUACAUCAAGCACUUCCAAAUAUCUAGAAAGACUAGAUAUUUCAUACUUGUCCACCACGUACACAGCACUGUUAAAAUUACACACACAUAACAAUGGUUAUCAUCUGAGGUAUCUUCUAAAUGUGACCACUUUGGCCUUGAAUCAUUCCCUCCCCUCUUCCUUCUCUGCCUUCAAUCCAGUGGACAAGUACAGGCACGUGUAAUGCUUAGAGAUGGUUGAGUAAAUUCCUAUGCAAAAGUCAUUUACAGAAGACAAGUUUUCCUAUGAAUUUCAACACAAAGCAUACAAAAUAUGCUAAUUUUACUACUUUGUCAUACACUGGCAACCUCUUUAAUAUCUAGAAACUAGAUGUUGAAAAAUUAGGACUAUUUGUCCAUUAUAUACACUAUAUACAGAGCAAAACAAAAUGCACAAAACAUACAGAAAAAUGGUGUCUGGAAAUGUUCAAGUAUGAACACACUAGUAUAUUACCUUUUGCAAUUUCUUUCCUCCCACCUCCUCUAAACCACUGAACAAGUAUAGACAUUACUAUACUGCUCACAAAGGUGGCUUCAAAAUUCAAUUUCCAAAAGUAUUUCCUAUGAAUUUUAGCAAAAAGAUAUUUACAAAGUGGUAUUUUACUACCUCUACAUUUAACAUACAUCAGGCACUUCUAAACAUCUAGAUAGACUAGAUGUUUCAAGUAAGGAGUUAAUUUGUCCACUAUGUACACAGCAGUCUUGAAUAAACUGCAAACAUGUAACAACAGUUAUAAUUUGAAAGAGUCUUCCAAAUGUGAACAUUCUGGCCUAGAACCCUUCCCAUCUCCAUCAACCUAGUGGGUAAGAAUGCUCAAAUUUUCAGAAGACAAUCUUUCCUAGGACUUCUAAAACAAAAUGUACAAAAUAUAUUAGUUUUCCUAGGACUUGUAAAACAAAAUGUACAAAAUAUAUUACUCUACUUUUGUCAUACACUGGCAACCUCUUUAACAUCCAGAAAGACUAGAUGUUGUCAAUUAGGAAUCGUUUGUCCUUUACGUACACUAUAUACACAGAUAAGUAAAACAAAAUGCACAGAGAUAAUGAUUCAUCUUGUAAAAAGGAUGGCAUAGAGCUCUCUGCACCUCCCCCUCCUCUCUCCUCCCCUGAACCACUGCACAAACACAAUGAGUAUUACUCCACAGGUGAUUUGGCCAUUCCCCUCAAAAAAAUUUCCUAUGAAUUGUAACAAAAAGAUACUUACAAAAUGUGAUUUUGCUACCUCUAAUUUUAACAUAUCAGUACUUCAGAACAUCUAAAAAGAACAGACAUUUCAAAAAAGCUUAGCAUUGUCAACUAUGUACACAGUAGUGAGGAAUAAAAUGCACACAAAACAAUGGAUAGAAUACGAAAAUGUCUUCUAAAUAUGACCAGUCUAGGAAAGAACCUUCUUCUCUUCCUUCUCAGGUCUUCUAGCUCCUUGUCAUCUAACCCACCGAACAAACGUGGACGUAUAGCUUCCAGAGCCCGUCUAACAACUCCAUUUCCAAAAGUCAUCUCCAGAAGACAUGUAUUUUCUAUUAUUUAUUUUAAACAAAUGAGAAUUUACAAGACGUGUGACUUUCUAACUCUACUUUAUCAUACGUCGGCAACCUCUUUCCAUCUAGAAGGGCUAGAUGUGACAAAUGUUUUCUAUUAAAAGGUUGGGGUGGAGUUGAGAGCAGUUUUUUCAUAUUAUAUACACAGGCCUUCCAUAAACGGCCAGUAAAUCUUCCCAGAGGGUGGUGGGCAUUUCCAACGGGCCAAACGUGGCCUGUCAUUCUAUCAUUUCUCUCUUUCGACAGCAAGGUCUGGUAGAACGAAGACCAACCGCCCGAUGGCCGCUAACAGUUCCACCCGUCGCCGUCUGGGACUUCGCUCACCUACCAGGCCGGUUAAGCCCUUUGUCCGUUGUCUUCAGGACUAGGUAGGUCUCGCCCAAUGGCGACAGAGUGGUCACCUGGGACCCGGAUCUGCGCGGCUCCGUGGCCUAAAGAGGCGGCCUAGCCUGCCUGCGUCCCUGGGCCGCUUUCCCGG